UCAGAUUCGCUUUUACUUCAAUCCUUCUCUCUUUUAUCUCCCGGUCACCCCUUUCUCUUCAGUUUCUUCAGGGGGUCGCCCAAAAUCAGGAAAAAGAGUUUGACAAACCCUGAAAUUCUUAUUCAAGUCAAAGUUAGUGAUCGAAUCUAAUCCAAAAAAAAAAGAACAAUUGUCUUCGAUUUAAAGAAAAAUUCAAAUAAAAUUCAACCAUGUCGGAAAUGGCGAACAUGGAUUCCGAAGGGAUAGAUGCCGUACGGAUGACGUGGAACGUUUGGCCACGCACUAAAGUGGAAGCCAGCAAGUGUG
rnacentral:lncRNA from 1 species